rnacentral:rRNA from 1 species
GAUGAACGCUGGCGGCGUGCCUAACACAUGCAAGUCGAACGAAGCACCUUACCUGAUUCUUCGGAUGAAAGUUUGGUGACUGAGUGGCGGACGGGUGAGUAACGCGUGGGUAACCUGCCCUGUACAGGGGGAUAACAGCUGGAAACGGCUGCUAAUACCGCAUAAGCGCACGAGGAGACAUCUCCUUGUGUGAAAAACUCCGGUGGUACAGGAUGGGCCCGCGUCUGACUAGCUGGUUGGCAGGGUAACGGCCUACCAAGGCAACGAUCAGUAGCCGGUCUGAGAGGAUGAACGGCCACAUUGGAACUGAGACACGGUCCAAACUCCUACGGGAGGCAGCAGUGGGGAAUAUUGCACAAUGGGGGAAACCCUGAUGCAGCAACGCCGCGUGAGUGAAGAAGUAUUUCGGUAUGUAAAGCUCUAUCAGCAGGGAAGAUAAUGACGGUACCUGACUAAGAAGCGCCGGCUAAAUACGUG